rnacentral:ncRNA from 1 species
AAACUUACCAGAUCCAUACAUAGUAAGGAUUGACAAAUUGAGAGCUCUUUUUUUAUUCUAUGGAUGGUGGUGCAUGGAUGUUCUUGGUUGGUCAGUUCAACUUCAAGGACAUGGUGUGAAGUUGGAGUUCAAAUACAUAUAAAAUAUGUAUGUUAUGCUCCGAGGUUGG